UACGAAGGGGGCUAGCGUUGUUCGGAAUUACUGGGCGUAAAGCGCACGUAGGCGGAUACUUAAGUCAGGGGUGAAAUCCCGGGGCUCAACCCCGGGACUGCCUUUGAUACUGGCGAUCUCGAGUCCGGGAGAGGUGAGUAGAACUGCGAGUGUAGAGGUGAAAUUCGUAGAUAUUCGCAAGAACACCAGUGGCGAAGGCGAGUCCCUGGACGAUACCUGACACUGAGGCACGAAAGCCAAGGGAGCAAACAGG
rnacentral:rRNA from 1 species